UACGUAGGGCGCAAGCGUUAUCCGGGAAUUAUUGGGCGUAAAGAGCUCGUAGGCGGUUUGUCGCGUCUGCCGUGAAAGUCCGGGGCUCAACUCCGGAUCUGCGGUGGGUACGGGCAGACUAGAGUGUGGUAGGGGAGACUGGAAUUCCUGGUGUAGCGGUGAAAUGCGCAGAUAUCAGGAGGAACACCGGUGGCGAAGGCGGGUCUCUGGGCCGAUACUGACGCUGAGGAGCGAAAGCGUGGGGAGCGAACAGG
rnacentral:rRNA from 1 species